AAUUUAUAUUCCUUCAUCCAACAAAAGAUGUCUCAACUUUGACUAAAUUUGAAUGCGUCUAUACACUAAGUCAUGUCUAGAUACAUUCGAAUUUUGACAAACUUAAGACAUCUUUUGUUAGAUGGAGGGAGCGGUACAAU
rfam:Brachypodium distachyon strain Bd21 chromosome 4, whole genome shotgun sequence.